AUUGAACGCUGGCGGCAGGCCUAACACAUGCAAGUCGAGCGGUAACACAGAGGAGCUUGCUCCUUGGGUGACGAGCGGCGGACGGGUGAGUAAUGCCUGGGGAUCUGCCCGAUAGAGGGGGAUAACUACGGGAAACUGUAGCUAAUACCGCAUAAUGUCUACGGACCAAAGUGGGGGCUCUUCGGACCUCAUGCUAUCGGAUGAACCCAGGUGGGAUUAGCUAGUUGGUGAGGUAAUGGCUCACCAAGGCGACGAUCUCUAACUGGUUUGAGAGAAUGACCAGUCACACUGGAACUGAGACACGGUCCAGACUCCUACGGGAGGCAGCAGUGGGGAAUAUUGCACAAUGGGCGCAAGCCUGAUGCAGCCAUGCCGCGUGUGUGAAGAAGGCCUUCGGGUUGUAAAGCACUUUCAGCGGGGAGGAAGGGUCACUAGUUAAUACCUAGUGGCAUUGACGUUACUCGCAGAAGAAGCACCGGCUAACUCCGUGCCAGCAGCCGCGGUAAUACGGAGGGUGCAAGCGUUAAUCGGAAUUACUGGGCGUAAAGCGCACGCAGGCGGUUUGUUAAGUCAGAUGUGAAAUCCCCGAGCUCAACUUGGGAACUGCAUUUGAAACUGGCAAGCUAGAGUCUUGNAGAGGGGGGUAGAAUUCC
rnacentral:rRNA from 1 species